rnacentral:rRNA from 1 species
UACAGAGGGGGCAAGCGUUAUUCGGAAUUAUUGGGCGUAAAGGGCGCGUAGGCGGCUUGGCAAGUGGAAGGUGAAAUCCCUCGGCUUAACCGAGGAACUGCCCUCCAAACUGCUUGGCUUGAGACCGGGAGAGGUGAGUGGAACUGCGAGUGUAGAGGUGAAAUUCGUAGAUAUUCGCAAGAACACCGGUGGCGAAGGCGGCUCACUGGCUCAUAUCUGACGCUCAGGCGCGACAGCGUGGGGAUCAAACAGG